rnacentral:rRNA from 1 species
UGGGGAAUAUUGCACAAUGGGCGCAAGCCUGAUGCAGCCAUGCCGCGUGUGUGAAGAAGGCCUUCGGGUUGUAAAGCACUUUCAGCGAGGAGGAAGGCAGUCGUGUUAAUAGCACGAUUGAUUGACGUUACUCGCAGAAGAAGCACCGGCUAACUCCGUGCCAGCAGCCGCGGUAAUACGGAGGGUGCAAGCGUUAAUCGGAAUUACUGGGCGUAAAGCGCACGCAGGCGGUUUGUUAAGUCAGAUGUGAAAUCCCCGCGCUUAACGUGGGAACUGCAUUUGAAACUGGCAAGCUAGAGUCUUGUAGAGGGGGGUAGAAUUCCAGGUGUAGCGGUGAAAUGCGUAGAGAUCUGGAGGAAUACCGGUGGCGAAGGCGGCCCCCCUGGACAAAGACUGACGCUCAGGUGCGAAAGCGU